AAAAAUUUAGUUAAAAAAUAACAUUAGUUUGUCAAACUAAAAUUAUUUAAAAAUAAAUAAUUUUUA
rnacentral:tRNA from 1 species